CAUUUAGUCACUUCUUGCAGGAAAGCCUUACUAGUAGGUAACUUUAGAUUUUUUUUUUUUUAGGUGAAAGUAAAACAUUUUGAGAAAACAUUGCCUUUGCUGAAACAACAUUAUUUCCAAUAAAUAAGCCAGUCAUUCAUUUAGUCCUUUGUUUAUGAAACAGUUACUGAGAGAGUCCUUUGAGCUGGGGGCUGUACUGUGUGUGGGGAUAAAUAAAACACAGAUCCAGCUAUGGUGAAAUGCACACUCUUGAAAGGUAAAUUUCAUCUGAAGAUUACCAGUAGAAAAUAGCCAUUUAACAUGACCUAUCAGUAUGCGAUACCCAAAGCAGACAGUCUUUAAGGUAGCAUGCUGCUACCAAUUCUUAAUUCCAUUCCAGGAAACUCAAACGACUUUUUAUCAUGGAGUUCCCGUCAUGGCUUAUCGGAUUUGUUAACCACUGCGCCACAAUGGGAACUCCUGUGUGUGUGUUUUGUUUGUUUUGUUUUUGAGUUAGGAAGAGAGAAAAUCCCAAUAAAUAAGUAGAUCUUUUUUGGUUAUUUUAUAAUCCUCUUUGAUGAUUUUUGGUCAUUUUGAAUGAGAAGAGCAAGAAAGAGAUACAGUUCUGAUCCCUAGGGGCUGUGGAGGCCUUUCGCUUACUUUAAGGAGAACGAUGUGGAGAAGGGAAGUAAGAGACAUCAUUCCUCGAAAGGUGAGAGGAGCCUGAGGUAGGUUGUGGGGAUUUUUUUUCCCCAUCCGCAUGUCCUUUCAUCUGUGGUUAUCCUAACAAAGUGAGGAUAUUAUUUAAACCGUGUACUUUAUUUUGCUGGAGUAUUUGAUAUGUUUAAAAAGUGUAAGACCAUUUCCUCAGUAGGCAUAUGCUUGCACUUAGCCUUAAUUCAUACCCUCGGAGGCAGCACACACAGCGUGGCCCUAUUCUGCGUAUUUUAAGAGGUUUCUUAUGACAGGGCUUGUCUGUUGGCCAUACUGGUGAGUAGCACUUAGAGGGUUUACAAACCACUCAGUGCCGGUGAUGACAUACUCAGUGUGGUUCUGGAAGCUAAAUAAAACACAGGAAAGAGAUAGUCAAUAAAAUAAAGAACACACCUCUGUAAUUAUUGCCAGAAAUGAAAAUUUGAAACCCUAAAUUUGAAUGUGGUCUAGGCACCUGAAGAUCCAAACGUAAUUUCCCAGAUUGAAAUUUCAGGAAAGAGUGUCUAUCUCAAGUGUCUUGCCUAGAUCACAUAUUUUGAAAACAUUUUGACUGAUCAUAGGAGAAGCAAGGAGCAGAUGUUGAGUGAGACAUGUACCCACAAAAGAAAUGUUCCCUCCUUAGUGAUUCCAUUUACUGCUAAGUAAACCUGCAACGCACCCCAUUCAGGCAACAUUACUUGCUACUGGAAGAUUUUGGGCCAACUCAUAAGACGAAAACUAUUCCUAUGUACUUGUUUUGUAAUUUCAAAUACAGAUCUCUUUGCAAUCCAAAAAUAAGUUUUUCUUGUAGAAGGACUAAUUUUUUAAUGACAGUGAUCCAAUCAAUACUAUUACAGUUUGAGGUUAAGGGGCACCCUUCUCCUGUGGUUAAAUUCAAAUCCAGGAGUUCCCAUCGUGGCUCAGUAGAAAUGAAUCUGACUAGGGGACGCAGGUUCAAUUCCUGGCCUUGCUCAGUGCGUUAAGGAUACUGCAUUACCGUGAGCUGUGGUGUAGGUCACAGACUUGGCUUGGAUCCUGUGUUGCUGUGACUGUGGUGUUGCUGGCAGAUACAGCUCUGAUUUGACCCCUAGCCUGGGGACCUCCAUAUGCUGUGGGUGUGGCCCUAAAAAGACAAAAAAAAAAAAAAAAUUCUAAUCCAAGUCUUUGGAUUUUCUGUAGCUACUUUCUUGGGAAGUAAGCUGAUGUCUUUCAAGCCUCUACUGUACUCAUCCUCCACUAUCCCACGUGUCUCCACUCAGGCUCUCUCAUCUUCAAGACAACUUUCUUUAUUUUGCGGGUUAAAACAAAAACCCAAAAAACCGAGGCAUUAAGAGAUGAGGUGAUCUGCAAAAGUCCACGGGCCAAGUAGGUGACUAAUUCCAGAUUCCAGUUGUAGCUUUGAAUGUCUAAAACCCUGUCAUCUCCCUAAAACACUUUAAUAGCCAUGAUUCAGUGUGACAUGGGCCUCACAAGUUCAAAUACAUUUAUACUGUGGCUGGGUUUUCCAUUUUACCUGAGGUUAAUCAUACUGCCAGUAUAAUCCAGGUGUUUUAUAGUUUAUUUUUGUGUUUUGUUAUUUAUCCCAUUUGCAGUACCUGGCAUGAUGGGCUGUGUAUAGCACACAGUUAAUGAAUACUUGCCAAAUCCAUCCAUUUUGAGCCUCAUGAAGGCUGCUUAUCUUACAGGGGUCAGACUAACCUUGGUUAGAAAAGGUGUGGAUACGGAUUAUCGCUGCCUUCCCCGAAUCCCUGGUAAAAUCCUAAUUAAGGCCUAGUUCAUAUCAUCAUCUCGUUUAAGUAGCUUUCUCUGACCCGUUUUGUCACUAAGGCAGAAUUGCUUCUUCUUCUGUGUAUGACUUAGAGUUUAUAUAUACUUUCAUGUCGUUUUUCUUUUUUAAGGAAGAAUGAUAAUGAUAACUUCUAUUUAUUGUGCACUAGGUCAGGCAUUAAGCUAAAUACUCUACAAAUGUUAUCUCUUUUUAAUCCUCAAAACAACCCUGGGAGACAGCAAGCCUGAGACAUCAUUAUCCUAUAUUACAGGUGAGAAAAGUGAUCUAACCGAUUCCUAAAGCCUGUGCUUUAAAUUUGUUCUUUUAUUUUUAAUUGAGGCACAAUUUACACACAGCAAAGUGCACGCCUCUCAGGUAUACAGUUGGAUAAGUUGGAUAAGUACAAACAUCUGUGUAACUAUGUACCCAUCAAGAUAGAGCACAUUUCCACUUACAGAAGUGUCUUUCCUGCCUUUUCUCCCACACAAGAUUAAGGAUGCCUGUUUUGGAAUUUUAUGGAAAUUGAGCUAGAGAGUACAAUGUACUGUGAAGCACAGGAAAUUCCACUCAGUACUGAGUAAGAACCUAUAUGGGAGAAGAUUCUGAAAAGGAAUGGAUGUAUGUAGAUGUAUAACUGAUUUACUUUUUGUAUGCCUGAAACGAAUGCAACUUGUAAGUUAAUGAUACUCCAAUUAAAAAAAACAACAAAAAUAAAAACCAAGAACAUUGUCCAAACCACACACACAAAAGAUGGUUGUCCAGGUCCUUCCUACUAAUGUAAAGCUACAAUUCUCACCUCAUGCCAUGUGGCACACAGAUAGUUUUAAACUGAAAAGGCUUUGGACAUUUAUCUUCUGAAGGUAGCAGCCUUUCCAAAGGGGAGUGGAGGUGGGUGAUCCCUAUUGAGGAACUGAGUGACCAGCCAGCCACCUGCAGUACUGUGUGCAUGGCCUGGUGAGUCCCAUUCUUUGCUGGGGGUCUGUGCUUCAGCACUAGGUCCCUCUGACCUUGGAGGUCCACUUGGACGCCACUGAAAGCAUUAGUGUUGACUUCUGACCUGAAGUCUUUUAGGACUAUAUUCUAGUUAUCUAUUGCUCCAUAGCAAUAUGAGAACAAACAUAGCAGCUUAAAACAACACAUAUUUAUUAUUGUACAGUUUCUGUGGAUCAGGAAUUUGGGCACGGCUUACCUGAGUCUUCUGCUUUACAAGGCUGUGGUCAAGGUGUCGGGCCUGGGCUUUGAUUCCAGGCUCACAUGGUCACAGGAAGGGUUCAGAUCCUUGUGGUUUGGGGGACUGAGGGCUAGGUUUAGACAUCAUUCCUUGCUGUGUGGGCUUCCCUGACAUGGCUAGUGGCUUUCCCAAAGCCAGCAAGGGAGAAACUCCUAGCAAGAUGGAUAUUAGGUUUUUAUGCAACAGAAUUAUACUAAUGACAUCCAGUCCCCUUUGCAAUAUUCUGUUGGUAAAAAACAGGUCACAGACACUGCCCAUAUUCAAGGAAAGAGGAUUACAUAGAAGUGUGAAUACCAAGAGGUGUGGAUAAUGGGAGACUAUCUUAGUGUCUGUGUGCCACAGAUGGUCAAUGGAAGUGCUUUUUAAAAAGUGGAAAAUACAGAUAUUCUGAGGAAAAUAGUCGUUUUGACCCAAAGAAGGUAUGAAUUUUUUUUACUGUUCUAAUGAAUAAUUUCAGAGGCUCCAACAUUAUCCCAAGACAGAGAUAAUGUUCUGGAUAAAUUAUCUGCAGUUAAUGUCUACUGGUACAGAAGAUUAAUAGGAAAGCAUGAAGAGAUUUCUGGAUAAAUACUUCUCAGUGGGUUCAUUCAGUGUAGAUGAAUUGAGUCUUUUCUAUGACCUGCUACUGGACAGAGCUUCUGCUCUGAGAUGUGCCACGGAUUAAAGGAGAGAGAUGGGCAGAGUGAUGCCAAGUGUGGGAAACCAAACUUUCUGGCAAUGAGUCUGCUUAUUUGGAAUAGAAUGAUUGACCCAGGCUGAACACAGGAGAAAACUAAAUUGUCCAUGCUUUUAUUUUUAAUUAAAAGCACAAGUCACACGUAUCAAGACCAGUGCAAACAAAAUAUUUUACUGGUUAGAAGAUGCUGGAAGAUAUUCAGGCUUUAACCCUUAGCUUUGGUGGGUUUAGACAGUCAAGGAAGGUAGUAGAGCCUCAUCCAACCUUGUCCAUGUGAUACUUAUUCUGCUGGUCCUUGAUCACUAAGGAUUUUGAAUGCCCGAGAUAUUUUUUCAGAUUUAAACCAAACACAAAGGUUCAUUUCCAGAAUUUUGGGAAACAUUACUAUAAUCCUUUAAUCAUGUAGAAAUCUUUGGGAAACUAAAGGCCACGUAGCUGGACUUAAAAAAAAAUUUGUGGAGUUUUCUUGUGGCUCAGCAGGUUAAGUUAUCACUGCAGUGGUCUUGGUCACUGCUGUGGUGCUAGUUCAGUCCCUGGCCCUGGGAACUUCCUCCACAUGGUAUGGACAUGGCCAAAAAAUUUUGUUUGAAAAUUCGUCUCCUUAAUAAGCUGCAUAACCUCCCUCAAGUAUAGGAAUUAAUCAAAGAAAUGGAAAAUAGAGUAUUUAUUGCUUUUAGUUAAAAAAGAAAGACUAUUAAUAGUCAUUUGGAGACUUCUUUUGUCACAUUCUAGACACUUUACAUUGAAAGCAAAAAAAAAAAAAAAA
rnacentral:lncRNA from 1 species